AUUGAACGCUGGCGGCAUGCCUUACACAUGCAAGUCGAACGGCAGCGGGGGAGAAGCUUGCUUUUCCUGCCGGCGAGUGGCGAACGGGUGAGUAAUACAUCGGAACGUGCCCUGUAGUGGGGGAUAACUAGUCGAAAGAUUAGCUAAUACAGCAUACGACCCGAGGGUGGACGUGGGGGACCGGAAGGCCUAAUGCUAUAGGAGUGGCCGAUGUCUGAUUAGCUAGUUGGUGGGGUAAAGGCCUACCAAGGCGAGGAGCAGUAGCUGGUUUGAGAGGACGAUCAGCCACACUGGGACUGAGACACGGCCCAGACUCCUACGGGAGGCAGCAGUGGGGAAUUUUGGACAAUGGGCGAAAGCCUGAUCCAGCAAUGCCGCGUGUGUGAAGAAGGCCUUCGGGUUGUAAAGCACUUUUGUCCGGAAAGAAAUGGCUCUGGUUAAUACCUGGGGUCGAUGACGGUACCGGAAGAAUAAGGACCGGCUAACUACGUGCCAGCCGCCGCCGUAA
rnacentral:rRNA from 1 species